rnacentral:rRNA from 1 species
CAGUCGCCGCGGUAAAACGGAGGGAGCUAGCGUUGUUCGGGAUUACUGGGCGUAAAGCGCACGUAGGCGGCUUUGUAAGUUAGAGGUGAAAGCCUGGAGCUCAACUCCAGAAUUGCCUUUAAGACUGCAUCGCUUGAAUCCGGGAGAGGUGAGUGGAAUUCCGAGUGUAGAGGUGAAAUUCGUAGAUAUUCGGAAGAACACCAGUGGCGAAGGCGGCUCACUGGACCGGCAUUGACGCUGAGGUGCGAAAGCGUGGGGAGCAAACAGGAUUAGAUACCCCGGUAGUCCCUGUCUCUUAUAC